CAAUAAGCGGAGGAAAAGAAACCAACAGGGAUUGCCUCAGUAACGGCGAGUGAAGUGGCAACAGCUCAAAUUUUAAAUCUGGUCCUUUUCAGGGCUCGAGUUGUAAUUUGUAGAGGACGUUUCGGGUUUGGCCCUAGCCUAAGUUCCUUGGAACAGGACGUCACAGAGGGUGAGAAUCCCGUAUGUGGCUGGUGGUCUAUGCCUAUGUGAAGCUCCCUCGACGAGUCGAGUUGUUUGGGAAUGCAGCUCAAAAUGGGUGGUAAGUUUCAUCUAAAGCUAAAUACUGGCGGGAGACCGAUAGCGCACAAGUAGAGUGAUCGAAAGAUGAAAAGCACUUUGGAAAGAGAGUUAAAAAGUACGUGAAAUUGUUGAAAGGGAAGCGCUUGCGACCAGACUUGCCCUUGGUUGAUCAACCUGGUGUUUCUCACCGGUGCACUCUGCUGAGGUCAGGCCAGCAUCGGUUUGGGCGGUUGGAGAAAGGCCGUGGGAAUGUGACUUCCUUCGGGGAGUGUUAUAGCCCUUGGUGUCAUGCGACCAGCCUGGACUGAGGACCGCGCCUUUAGUGGCUAGGAUGCUGGCAUAAUGGUCGUAAGCGACCCGUCUUGAAACACGGACCAAGGAGUCUAACAUCUAUGCGAGUGUUUGGGUGUCAAACCCACACGCGUAAUGAAAGUGAACGGAGGUGGGAACCCUCAAGGGGUGCACCAUCGACCGAUCCUGAUGUCUUCGGAUGGAUUUGAGUAAGAGCAUAGCUGUUGGGACCCGAAAGAUGGUGAACUAUGCCUGAAUAGGGUGAAGCCAGAGGAAACUCUGGUGGAGGCUCGCAGCGGUUCUGACGUGCAAAUCGAUCGUCAAAUUUGGGUAUAGGGGCGAAAGACUAAUC
rnacentral:rRNA from 1 species